rnacentral:rRNA from 1 species
CCUGGUUGAUCCUGCUAGUAGUCAUAUGCUAGUCUUAAAGAUUAAGCCAUGCAUGUCUAAGUACGAUCUAAUUCAUACUGUGAAACUGCGGAUGGCUCAUUAAAUAAAUUAUAGUUUCUUAGAUGGUACCAUACUACUCGGAUAACUAUAGUAAUUCUAGAUCUAAUACAUGCACCAAGUCUUGACUCUUUGGAAGUCAUGCAUUUUUUAGAAAAAUGGUCAGCUUGGGCUUGUCCGCUUCUCCGGUGAAUCAUGAUAACUUGAUGGAUCGCACAACCCUUGUGUUGGCGAUUCUUCAUUCAAAUUUCUACACUAUUAACUUUCGAUGGUAGGAUAGCGGCCAACCAUGGUGGUGACGGGUGAUGGAGAAUUAAGGUUAGAUUCUGGAGAGGGAGCCUGACAAAUGGCUACAACAUCCAAGGAAGACAACAGGCACGCAAAUUACCCAAUCCUGACAUGGGGAGGUAGUGACAAUAAAUAACAAUAUUAGGAUCAUCAUGUCUAGUAAUUUCAAUGAGUACAAUCUAAACCCCUUAACGAGGAUCCAUUGGAGGGCAAGUCUGGUGCCAACACCCAUGGUAAUUCCAUCUCCAAUAGAGUAUAUUUAAGUUAUUGUAGUUAAAAAGCUUGUAUUUGGAUAUUGGGUUGUAAAGGUCGGUCUGGCUACUCGGUGUGCACCUUCCCUUCCGUCCCUUUUUUCGUCGGUGUGCUCCUAGCCUUAAUUGGCAGGGUUGUGGCUCUGGCACUGUUACUUUGAAAAAAUUAGAGUGCUCAAAGGAAGCUUAUGCUUUGAAUACAUUAGCAUGGAAAAAUGUUAUAGGAGUCUGGUCCUAUUUUGUUGGCCUUCGAGACUGGAGUAAUGAUUAAUAAUGACUGUGGGGGGCAUUCCAAGGAAAAUUUUAAGGAUGGAAUCUUAACAUGAAGUUUAAAAACAUUGGCGAAUCUCACUAGUGCCUAACUUGUAGACUAUAAAAUGUUUAUUCAUAUAUUUGUAUAAUUAUUCAAACUUGUAAUGAUUUUAUAUAUAGUCUCUAUAUAUAAAAUCACUCCAGUUCGCCCAGAUCGCUCUUCUGCGGCUCCAGAUUGCUCUUCUGCGGCUCCAGAUCACUCUUCUGCGGCUCCAGUUCACCCCAGAUCGCCCCUCUUCUGUGGCUCCAGAUCGCCUCUCUCCGUCGUUUGAGUUUCUGAAUACAAACUGAACAUUGAAUUCAUUGAGACA